rnacentral:rRNA from 1 species
UAGUUGGUAAGGUAACGGCUUACCAAGGCGACGAUCAGUAGCCGACCUGAGAGGGUGAUCGGCCACAUUGGAACUGAGACACGGUCCAAACUCCUACGGGAGGCAGCAGUGGGGAAUAUUGCACAAUGGGCGAAAGCCUGAUGCAGCAACGCCGCGUGAGUGAUGAAGGCCUUCGGGUCGUAAAACUCUGUCCUCCAGGAAGAUAAUGCCGGUACUUGAGGAGGAAGCCCCGGCUAACUACGUGCCAGCCGGCGCGGUAAUACGUAGGGGGCUAGCGUUAUCCGGAUUUACUGGGCGUAAAGGGUGCGUAGGCGGUCUUUCAAGUCAGGAGGGAAAGGCUACGGCUCAACCGUAGUAAGCUCUUGAAACUGGGAGACUUGAGUGCAGGAGAGGAGAGUGGAAUUCCUAGUGUAGCGGUGAAAUGCGUAGAUAUUAGGAGGAACACCAGUUGCGAAGGCGGCUCUCUGGACUGUAACUGACGCUGAGGCACGAAAGCGUGGGGAGCAAACAGGAUUAGAUACCCUGGUAGUCCACGCUGUAAACGAUGAGUACUAGGUGUCGGGGGUUACCCCC